ensembl:lncRNA
CGCGCUCUGCGAGGGCUCGUGCUGGGGGAGCGCUCCUGGCUCGGAGCAGAGUAGACUCUGGCCACACAGCCCCUCCUGGGAAGCUUGGGGCCGCACCAACAGGCUUGGUGCCCUCAGCUGGGAAGAACUCCGCUGAAGGGUGGAGGGCUGCGCUGCUGCUGCUGCGGAGAUCUUGGCCGAACAAGGCCGGGACCCCUGGGUGCGGCUGAGGAGCCGUCAGGAGGCGCUCUGCCUGGCCCCAGCCCGGCCUCCAGGGGACUCUCCCUGGGGACCCAGGAGGCCUGGCUCACGUUUCUUAUUUAUAUAGAAGACAUUUCGCUCCUUUUGUACAUUUUUAAUGGGCCAGCAGGGAAGCCUCAAUGCAGCCAAGUCAGUGAGCCCACGUGGGCUGUGAGGACGAGCCUGGGACCUCUGGAGAGGGAGGGGAUUUGAGGCAAAGAUGGACAAGAAUCCGCCGUCAAAGCUUCUAUCUUUCUUUGAAUUACAUACGCUUCCCACAGGGCUGUGGGUGCUGUGCAGGAGCCAGUGGGGACACAGGAGGCAAAUGAAACUUUGAGCAGCCAUCUCGGACCCUGACUACAGGUACUAGCCUUUCUGAGCAUGGUCGUUUAAAAAAAAAGAAGCGGUGUCUCAUUUAAAGGUUGAGCAAACACAUCUGUGGUGACGGAUGGGGAAGUUUCAAAGGUGACUGAUAAGUUUUGGCCCGACUACCUGGAUGAAUUAAACUGUUCAUUGCUAGGUAGAAUAUUCAUGGUAAGAGUUGCAUUAGAGAUGGUGGUGAGAAUCAAGGGGCUUACUUUUUUUGAAACGUUAGUGUUUAGUGCCUGGGUUUACCAGACUGAAUCCCAGGGGAAGAGUUGAAACCUCAUCUCCUUAGAGAUGAUAUGUAUGUCUGAGAAAUCACCAUGAGGCCAUCUAAGAAAUGAGUUUUCUAGAGAAGAUAACAGGACAAAGACUGAAGCCUGGGGCACUUCAACCUUUAGAGCUCAGGAUGCAGAGGAGUCCUAAAUGAGGCUGAGAAGAAACAGUGAAGGAAGGGGAAAAUCAGAAUAGUAUGGUGGUUCCAGAGGCUAAAUUAAGAAGUAUUUUGUAAGGAAGGAAUGAGUGAUCAGCGUUAGCAAAUGCUGCAAAAACAUGAAGAUAGUAAAGACAGUGGCCCGAUGGACCUCACCAACACGCUAAACCCAACAAGGAGGAUUAAGAAGAGAUUAGAUGGUGAAGGAAUGGAGAGAAUGAUCACAGACAAGAACUUUUGAGUUUUGCUAUAAAAAGAAGUAGAGAAAUGGGAUACAUACAGGGGGUAAGGCGAAAGAGGAGAGUGAAGGGCAUAUACAGAGGCUGACACGGGGCACCCUCCUCUGUCACCCUUCACCUACUCAUGAUGAGGGUGGAGGCCAACCCCGCCUGUGAGCUCCUGCUGCAAUCCAGCUCCGCCAAAUGCCUUCUCUGAAAGAUUGUUCCUGAGGCCUGAUUAUUGAAAUCACCACACACCCAACAGCUUAUUGGGUAGGGUGAACAAUUUUUCAGUACUGUAAGGCCAACUACACC